UAGGGAAUCUUCCGCAAUGGGCGAAAGCCUGACGGAGCAACGCCGCGUGAGUGAUGAAGGUCUUCGGAUCGUAAACUCUGUUGUUAGGGAAGAACAAAUUUGUUAGUAACUGUAACAAGUCUUGACGGUACCUAACCAGAAAGCCACGGCUAACUACGUGCC
rnacentral:rRNA from 1 species